UUCUCUCUCUAUGCAGACUAUGCCUCACUCAAGGAGACACAUUGUUCUUUCUCUCUCCUCGUUUCAAUUUUGAAUUCCUGCAAUUUUAGUUCCUUGAUCGCAUUUCAUAGCUGUAAUCUACUAUGCAUUUGAUCAAACAUCGCUUCAAUUUCACUCAAAAUUCGAUUCAUUCUCAAAGAAUUUUGAUAAUUCUUAUGGUUCCAAUUUUACUUGCGAUUUAAUCGUCAAAUUAGGGCAACGAUUUUGAUGAUCAAAAUUUUAUGAAACAGGACUUAUGCCGAUGGAUUGUAUCAUCUUAAUUUGUCGCCGAGUUCGAAAUAUCGACUCCUUAACUGUGAAUGAGAAGAAUUAUGAGGAAUGCAAUUUGGAACACACGUUGCUGUUUAUUUGAUGGCUACAGGUGGUUGGUAGUUCGAUGGUUAACAUAUUAUUGAGAAUUAUCUAAGAAUCAAAGAUUGAGUUGAUCCUGCAAAAGAUAAGACUACGAGUCAGCUCCUGCUUCACACUGAGGAACAGUUUAUAAUAAGUCAAGAUGUCAAUGUCGAGAGAGAAAUCAUACCGGUGGCUUUCUUGUAAGAUCUGCAGUUGCUGCCUGAGCAUUGCCACUUCUUUUUGCCAGAACUACAAAAUACAGUUGUGCAUUAGAUUAUGGUUGGUUGUUUGACUAAUUCUGAGAUUGAAUAGACGCUUGUUAUUUCUUGGAGCUGUUGUCUUAGAUAGAAAGGAGAUUUUGCCAACCAGUUCAUUCGAAAUGUGUUGUCUUUCACUAUUUUUAUCAUGGGGCUUGGUGAACAUAAUCACAGUGGUAAGAUCUCACUUGGGUAUAGGGGCUCGGUCAACCAGUUUUUUUUUUUUUUUCGUUGUUGUUGUUGUUGUAGAUACAUUUUUUUUAUUGAUUAGCUCCAACAAAAAAAGUUGGACAAUUAUAAAAAUUUUCUUUCUGGAUGGCUAGUCUCUAUAUGCAAGAACAAUGUUUUUCUAAUACGCAUGGAUAUGUUGCACCCAUCAGUUUUUUUUCUCAAUUGUUCUAGGUGUUUUGUGAUGGUGAUUACCUCCUAAGUUGAGGCACUAAUUGCAAUACCUCAAAUUUUCAAGUAUUUUAUAAUAAACAAUUUCUAUAAAUUGAUUUGAUUUUGAUAAAAAUGAUUAUUUACUUAUUUUAUUUUAUUUUGGAAAAAAAGAUAAUUGAUAUUCAUUAAAGAUACCAAAGUGAUAUUCAUAAUUGUAUAAAUUAUUUAUUUGAAAUUUAAAAUAGUUUUAAAUACCUCCAUCUGCGCAAUUAUAUGACCCCUUUUUACAAUCAUUUGGUCUUCAUUUUCUCUUCAAUGUUAUAGUUUUGUUUUGCUUCCAUCAUGAAGUUUUUUGAGGUACUCUACUGUAAUGAUCUAUUCCCAUUGUAGGAGUACAAUAUGUUCUUGAUUUCCCACUGAUGAAUAUAUCAUUGUAUUUUUUUUAACUUAUGAGAAUAGUUCUCUCUCCCGAAUAGUGUAUAAGAGUAUGUUUUCGUCAAAACAUAAGAGUAUUUAUGUCCUUUUUUUUUAGUCGAACACAUACUCUUAUACACUCUUCGGAAGAGAGGAUCGUGAUCAAAAGUCAAAACUGUUAAAAAAAAAGUACAAUGUUGUAUUAAUCAAUGGGAAAACAAAUACACAAAGUACUCCUACUAGGGAAAUGGAUCCCUUACUUUAGACUGCCUUGAAAUGCUAAUGAUGGAAGCAAAACAAAAUUACAAGUAUAACAAGGAAGUUAAGAAGACCAAAAGAAAUGAAUAAAAGGGGGUUGUAUAAUUGAGGCAUAAAGAGGUAUUUACACCUCAAAGUCAAUAAUAGGGUUUGAUAAUCUAGAAAUUUCAGAGAGUCAAUAAUAGGGUUGAUCUCUAGAUAUUUUAGAUUUUAUAUUUUAAACCAAAAUUUUUGUUAUCAUACAAAUCAGUUUUUUUAUCUUUUGUGAAAAUCAAUUUUUUUUUUUUUUAAUCUCUUUUUAAAACUAUGAAAUUAUAAAUAAUCUUCAUGUGAUAUCGAAGAAAAUUAAAAUCAAAUAAGUGUAUUACACUAAUAAUGGUGGUGUCUUUGAUUCAAGAGUUUAGGGUUGAUGAAGUUAAUAUGCUGUCUUUAGUGUACCAAGUGUUGGUACAGGUAAGCCCCUAGUUAUAAUUUUUGUUUGUAAGGUAAAAUUAAAUAAUAAGUUUAUAAAAGACAUUUAUUGAUGAUAUGUUCCAUAAACAAGAUUGGGUUUGGCUAUAUGUCAUUAUUUGUUUGGUAUGUGAAUUCAAUUCAAAUCAUGAUGUCUUACCUUUCUUUGUUGUUACCUGACAUGUCAUGAUGCUUAAGAGGAAUAAGUUUGUGAUGUAUGAGGAGUCUAAUGUUUGUUACUUUUUGGGAGUGGCAUUUAUGAUGUGCUUUGUAGGCUUUUGGGGGCCAAUGAGUUAUUCCUAUGGAACAAUGCUUUUAUGGUAAUUUUGUGGUGCAUUUGGCUGAAAUGUAUCUUCUAGAACUCCCUUUUUCCGCGCACCAUCUUAUAUGGUUUGUUACUUUGUUAAGCAUUUAGAAGUAGCACCUUAAUAAAAAAAAAUGUGUAUUAUAUGAUGGAUGUGUGGGAACUUGGUGAGGGAGUAAAGUAUGUAGGUAUUCGAAGGAAUAGUAUAGAUAUGAUAAGGGAGAGUCGAUUACAAUGGUUUGGGAAUUUGAGAUGUUGACUGAAAGAUACAGUGGUAAUGAAGGUGAAGGGUUGGAAUAAAAGAGAUCUAAAGUUAGGUUGAGGAAAACCAAAGAUGUGUUUGAUGGAUGGGAUUUAAAAUGGGCAUGGAGAAAGGGGCUUAUUCGGUGAUGUAGGUCAUGUAGCUGUAGAAAGAAAAGAUUGGAGAAGGAUGUUGUUUGGGUUGAUCAUAUGAGAUAGACUCUUGGUUCAUGUUGCUGACCCCAUAUCUUUGGGAAUAAAUCUAUUUGUGGGCUAGAAUAACUUCCGCAACUUCCUAUUGUGCAAGGACGAUAAAGGCUUAUAAGGGCUAUAUGAUUUUGGAGAUCUGUUAAAUUUAUUUCUUGGCUAAUAUUUGUUUGAUCUUGGGAGAAUUUCAGAACUAGUUCUUUUGUUGCAUUUUGAUUAUGUAUGCUUUAUAUGCCUCUCUAUAUAGAAAAAGUGGUAAAAUUUGUACUUGAGAAUUUUCAAGAGUCCUCUAGAACAACCAAUAUGAUAUAGUUGUAAUUUGUGUUAAAAGAUCCUUGUAAGGUUUUAUCAUACCUCUUCAUUGAAUGUAAGAAGGCUUAGCAAUAGUUGACAUGAUUGGUUGAAAUCAAACCAUAAUUCAACCAUAUACUAUUAUUCGGUUAUGGUACUAUUCCUGUGUCUUAAUCCAUGCCUAGGCUCAGGUUUGCUUACUUGAAACAUACUUUGCUCCUAUUGAGUCAAGUGUGGUCCAUGCACCGUUUUACGUUGCUUAAAUAUUGGUUGUUAUCCCUUGUUUGAUCUCUAAUUACAUCCCUUGAUGGGCCCCGAGAAGAAUCACGAAUCUUUCGUUUUGAGCAACUUGUCCUGUGGAAUAAAAAACAUUUUGAUAAAAGUUGCUCAUUUUAGAUCAUAUAUCAGGAUUACGUAGUAAUGUGUCAAACCAUUCAUGGUGUCCUAUUUUCAGCAUAAGGCGUGGAAAAUUUUCUGAAUAGUUGGGUCAUUAGACUGCUAUGGUAAUAUAACUAUAGAGUAAUAGGGAGUUGGAUGCAGGUUGUUAUUGCUUUAUUACAUCCAUUGCUGGCUAGGUAGCAGUGUAGAAUGGCAAUAAACUAUGUUGCAUUGUUUCUAUUUACCUGUAUUUGGUGCUGUUACAAUGUUACUGCAAUAGUUUUCAAGGAAUCAAUAUUAGGGGAAGGGUAUGUUAGUCAUUAUGUUAGUCAUAAUCUAUUACUCCCUCCGUCCCCGAAAAAACGACCCAUUUGGGUUGAUUUCGCGGGUGUUAAGAAACUUAAUUUGCAAGUACAAAUGUAUGGGAAAACACAAGAAAAAUUAAUGGUGGCAGGAGAGAGAAAAAAAGUUUAGAAAUUUAGAGAGGAGAUGACACAAAGAUCUGAAAAAAUACAUGGGUAAAAUAGGGAGAAGGAUCUAUAUGACAAAAAUAUUUGAGGAUAUAUUGGUAAUUUUGUGAUUUUAAUAGAUGUUGGGAAAAACAAAUGGGUCAUUCUUUUUGGGACUAAAAUUAGGCCAAAUGGGUCGUUCUUUCGGGGACGGAGGGAGUAGUAGUAACUUGGAGAAUAAGCUAGAGGUUUGUUAGUAGGGAUUUUCUAUAAAAUAGGUCUCAUGAGGAGGAAAGUAGACAUGUUGAAUAUUGUGUGGUUUGUUAUUGGGAGAGAGUGAGCCUUUCACAAGCUCAAAUUAGGAGAGAAUCCACCUCUUAAAAGUGGAAUCAUCAUUCGAUUUACUGUAAUUCUCAUCUUAUCAAUGUAAAAAUCAUUUUCUUCUUAUAUUGCUGCCAUUGUUGGUGCUGUAAGCUAUGUCAGUUCCUAUCAUAGUUUUAAAUUGUUUUUAGCUAAUCACCUGAAGUAGUUUGUAAAUAACCCUGUCUGAUUAUUAGAGGUGAGAUUGUGUUAUCCUGAGUCCUGACCUUUCAAAUUCCCAUUUUUAAGUAGUUGCUAAUUUAAUCUUCUGGUGGUGGUUAUUGUUUUAUGUUUUUAUUGCUUCUGCUUUUCUACUUUAUAGAGAAUUCUUAUUACUUACCAUUGCAUUUUGUUAUGACAAUUAUAUUAUAUGAUUUCUUAGUUAAUCUUGCUUGAAACUUUUAUUUAUAGUCUUGAAAUAUAAUAUUGCACUCGGACUAGCGUCUUGCAAAUCUCUGAUACUGAAAGUUUUAACCAUUCCUCAGUUUUUAUCAUCCAUUAAGAGCAAAAAUUUGCCUGUGAAAAUGAUUUUCUGUUAAAUUCCAAACAAAAAGAAGAUUUUCCUGUUUUCAUUUAUAUUUGUCUUGGAAGAUAUUCUGGUAGCAAUUAUAGUAUUAUACAUUCAAAAUAAGAACUCAA